CAAGUUUGUAAGAAGGUCUGGUUAUUUAAAUGAGUAAAGAGUUUAAUCCGUUCUCCAUUACUUUAUUCACAGGUAAAUGGUAAUAUGCUCUACACCGCUCUGGUGACAGACUUUGCUGCCUUGUUUCCAAUCGUCCACAUGGCUGCGAGAACCUAUUCAAUAUAAAGUACUCUGCAGCCACUUAGUGUGGACACCAGGUUAUAUCAGCUGUGUCGGUGAACUCCUCCCACAUCUGAACUGGCUGACAGAGGGCACAGCAUGCUGAGAGGUAGGUUCUGAUGUGAGAGGAUAAACUGAGUGCCCGAGGCUGUUCGGAGACAUGGCCAGAGACACUUAUGUAUCUGUGAUAAACAGAGAGUAUUAGGGUAACCCUGUAAUUCAUGAAUCAUAUGCUGUCUUCCCUGUUCCUCUGUUCUUAUGACUUUGUCUCUCUCAUACCUCUCCCCAACUUCCUUUUCAUCUGUUUUUAUAAUGGCCACCAGAUGUGCAUUGAAGUACAGAUUGAACAUUUUUAUUUAGAAUAUAUUACAUUUUAUAAUGCAUGUAUUUAUAACACUUGGAUAAUGAACUUUCAGUAAAGCGUUUCACGUUCUCUACUGGUUGAAAUGAAGUCUCGUUUGAUGACCAACUACACCUAUCCUGUGUUUAUCAGAUCAAUGCAGAAGAAGUGUUUGCUAUUGAGAUGAACUAGUUGUAUAGUAGUUACAUGAUGCAAAGGAAGGGUAGUGUUUUUAAAUUAAUAAAAUCUGUUUCUGUAUAAUAAUGAAUUAUAAAUCCACCUUUUAACUAAAGUUUCUGGUCUAUUGCAUAGUUACAAUGU
ensembl:lncRNA